GAGUUUGAUCCUGGCUCAGGACGAACGCUGGCGGCGUGCUUAACACAUGCAAGUCGAACGAUGAACCGCUUUCGGGCGGGGAUUAGUGGCGAACGGGUGAGUAACACGUGGGCAAUCUGCCCUGCACUCUGGGACAAGCCCUGGAAACGGGGUCUAAUACCGGAUAUGACURUCYRYCGCAUGGUGGAUGGUGUAAAGCUCCGGCGGUGCAGGAUGAGCCCGCGGCCUAUCAGCUUGUUGGUGAGGUAGUGGCUCACCAAGGCGACGACGGGUAGCCGGCCUGAGAGGGCGACCGGCCACACUGGGACUGAGACACGGCCCAGACUCCUACGGGAGGCAGCAGUGGGGAAUAUUGCACAAUGGGCGAAAGCCUGAUGCAGCGACGCCGCGUGAGGGAUGACGGCCUUCGGGUUGUAAACCUCUUUCAGCAGGGAAGAAGCGAAAGUGACGGUACCUGCAGAAGAAGCGCCGGCUAACUACGUGCCAGCAGCCGCGGUA
rnacentral:rRNA from 1 species